AACAGACUAUACAGUAGUGCUGCUGAUAGUGUGCGAUUUACUGUGUGCAUAUUAAUAAGCUACGUAAUUUGUCAGAUGCACGUGGGCCAGCUUGAAACAUUUCUUAGCUUCUCAAAUGACAUAAAGCGGAGCCUGAAAAUAAUAAACUUUUACAACUUGCGUAUUUGUACCGUAGGGAUGGCGUGCUUCUGACGGAUGAGGGCAAAGACCUCUUCCUUGAGAGUUUGAGCGUGUACGUGUGUGUGCCGUUGCGUGUCGGAAAAGGUAGGGGUUGUCAAAAACUGUGCAAGAAAGAGAAUGGUCAAAAUGUCCCCCCUGGUUCGCGAAUCCAGGACCACUCUAUGUAUGACGUUCGUUUCUAAAUGUUUUUAUUCAUUCACUCAGUGCUGAUUGAACGAUUAUUUCUCCUGCUUGGUUAAAAUAGUCUAAAACAGUUGAUGUGUUGAAAACUGUUACAUUUGAUCAUAUAGCUAACCAAGUUAGCAUGGCAUUUUCUUUUGACUGCGCACAGACCGCGCAAGCAAGCAAUGAUCAUUACUAUGUUAUUUUUGCUUUACUUUGCUUUGUGUGCAAACUGCACCCAUGCUACUUUUAACUUGUGGAUAGCGACUUCAGUUUUUUGGGAACACUUUGAAAAGUAGCUUGACACUGUUGAUCAGUCAGCACAAGUUUGGAUUCAAAUGACAAGAAGAAAAUUGCAUUGGCAUAAGAGGGAGCACACUGAGGUAAUGCAUAAGAUAAACCAACCAUAGAAAUAAUAACAUAAGCCAUCUACCGGAGCAGAAAGACCGCCUGUAAUCAGCAGCUGAAACCUGGAGAGCGAGUGUUGCUCCAGAGAGAUCCAGGUGGCCAGCUUCCGUCUGUUUGAUGAGCAGAAGGAUUUGCUGAUCCUGGUGUUUUUUGAGGAGAUCCCAGACCACCAGCUCUCACCCUGACACCACAUGAGGAGGCUGGUGAAGAGACACGCCUACCUGAGCUGGCCCAGAGCUGGGGAACACACCGGAGUCUUCUGGCAGAAACUCUGGGUUGCUCUGGAGACCAGGCACUGUCCUGCUGUGGAGGACCCCAUCCUCACCGGGGUGGAGAGAACGUGACGUAGACAACUGUCAUGCUGUGUUUUACAUUUAUAUGAUAUUUUAUAUAUCACAUGCUUUACAUUUUAGUCAUUUAGCAGAUGCUCUCAUACAGGGCGACUUACAUGAUUGAAUAACAUUGACCAAUGCUAAUAUUUAAUGAAUCUAAUGAGCUUAGUUACAAUGAUUUCUAUGAACCUUUGUUAACUCUUGGCUGUUGUAUUUAGCUUUAUGAGAAACAAACAUUCUCUUUGAAAUAAACUAUAAUGAACACGAGGGGAGACAGAGCUGGUUUCAUACACGAGGGGAGACAGAGAGCUGGUGUUAUAUACGAGGGGAGACAGAGAGCUGGUGUCAUAUACGAGGGGAGACAGAGAGCUGGUUUCAUACAUGAGGGGAGACAGAGAGUUGGUGUCAUACAUGAGGGGAGACAGAGAGCUGGUUUCAUACAUGAGGGGAGACAGAGAGCUGGUUUCAUACGAGGGGAGACAGAGAGCUGGUUUCAUACGAGGGGAGACAGAGAGCUGGUUUCAUACGAGGGGAGACAGAGAGCUGGUUUCAUACACAGGUCACAGCAGGUGUUUAUUGCAAAGGACCACAGGAGGAGGCAGGUAGCUGGGUCCAGGGGCAGGCAGAAGGUCAUACACAGGAGGAGGCAGGUAGCUGGGUCCAGGGGCAGGCAGAAGGUCAUACACAGUAGGAGGCAGGUAGCUGGGUCCAGGGGCAGGCAGAAGGUCAUACACAGGAGGAGGCAGGUAGCUGGGUCCAGGGGCAGGCAGAAGGGUAUACACAGGAGGAGGCAGGUAGCUGGGUCCAGGGGCAGGCAGAAGGUCAUACACAGGAGGAGGCAGGUAGCUGGGUCCAGGGGCAGGCAGAAGGUCAUACACAGGAGGUGUAGGGGCAACAGUACUGGCAGGGAGAAGACUAGUAACGUAGUCCAGGAGAUCAGGCAAAAGGUAAAUAGUGUUUGCCUGCCUCACUAUCACACACAGGAAGAGUAAAUCACAGGCAAACCAGACACUCCGAAAGAAGUGUCACAAAACAAACAAUAACUCACAGUGAUGGGGGGGGGGAAGAACUGAACUAAAUAGAGUGGGAUGAUGACAUGCAGGUGCGUGAACAGGUGAUUAGAAUUCAUGUGAUUGGGAUCUGGAGAGUGAGCUGCGUUCAGGGGAUCUAUGUGUUUGAGAGUGAGCUGGAAAGUGGGCUGGAGAGUGAGCUGCGUUCAGGGGAUCUAUGUGUUUGAGAGUGAGCUGGAAAGUGGGCUGGAGAGUGAGCUGCGUUCAGGGGAUCUAUGUGUUUGAGAGUGAGCUGGAAAGUGGGCUGGAGAGUGAGCUGUGUUCAGGGGAUCUAUGUGUUUGAGAUUGAGUUGGAAGUUACUUAAACAGCUCUUUAUCAUUAUGGCAUUAAGUAGACUUUAUGCAAUGUGUACUUUUCCUUGUCACCUUUACAUCAAUAGUUAAUGAUAGCUGCACAGCACAGCUCCAAACCAUAUGGGUUUACAAUCACCUUUACAUUAAUAGAUAAUGAUAGCUGCUAGUCCACAGCACAGCUCCAAACCAUAUGGGUUUACAAUCACCCUGACAUUAAUAGUACUAUACCAAUUGGAGGGUUUAAAUCACCCUUACAUUAAUAGUACUAUAUUAGCUACUGUAAUAUUACAGUUACCACACAUGUUUCAUUAUCAAUUUGUCAGCUACAGAGCACAAUUUAGCUAAUAGUCUUCUUUCUCUUCAAAUGUUUUUGUUCCUAUGUUUUACUUGUAUUAUACACUGAACAAAAAUAUAAACUCAACAUGUAAAUAUUGUUCCCAUGUUUCAUUAGAUAAAUGAAAUAUCCUAGAAAUGUUUGUCACGCACAAAUAGCUAAUUUCUCUCAAAUUUGUUUGUAUCCCUGUUAAUGAGCAUUCUCCUUUGACAAGAUAAUUAAUCCACUUGACAGGUGUGGAUGUGGCAUAUCAAGAAGCUGAUUAAACAUUAUGAUCAUUA